AUUGAACGCUGGCGGCAUGCCUUACACAUGCAAGUCGAACGGCAGCACGGGAGCAAUCCUGGUGGCGAGUGGCGAACGGGUGAGUAAUAUAUCGGAACGUGCCCGGUCGUGGGGGAUAACGUAGCGAAAGCUACGCUAAUACCGCAUACGAUCUACGGAUGAAAGCGGGGGAUCGCAAGACCUCGCGCGAUUGGAGCGGCCGAUAUCAGAUUAGGUAGUUGGUGAGGUAAAGGCUCACCAAGCCGACGAUCUGUAGCUGGUCUGAGAGGACGAUCAGCCACACUGGGACUGAGACACGGCCCAGACUCCUAAGGGAGGCAGCAGUGGGGAAUAUUGGACAAAUGGGCGAAAGACCUGAUCCAGCAAUGCCGCGUGAGUGAUGAAGGCCUUAGGGUUGUAAAGCUCUUUACCCGGGAUGAUAAUGACAGUACCGGGAGAAUAAGACUCCGGCUAACUCCGUGCCAGCAGCCGCGGU
rnacentral:rRNA from 1 species